AUGCUUAUUGAUAUCGCAAUUGAGUCUGUAAAGGGCUUGAUUUCCUUCUUCACCAAGUACAGAGAAUCUGGCUUUUCAAAAGCAUUGGAAGAUGCAAAAAAAAUUGCAAUGGAGAUGGAUAUUGAUCCAGAGUUCCGCACCAAGCGUCAAAUCAAGAGGAAAAGGCAAUUUGAUGAGGGUGCAGAUGAUCCAUCUAUUGUUUCACAAUCGGCAGAGGAGUCAUUUAGGGUCAAUUAUUUUCUGCAUAUUGUUGAUCAGGCUAUAGUUUCACUUAACACGAGAUUUCAACAGUAUGAAGGGUAUGAAAAAAUAUUUGGUUUCUUGUUUAGUUCAGAUAGGCUGCGAUCCUUGGAUGAUAAGAGUUUGUUGGCUGCUUGUGUUAAUCUUGAAGGUGCACUUAAGAGUGGAGAAAAUAAAGAUAUUGAUGGACUUGAGUUGUGUUGCGAGCUACUUUUUCUCCAAGACUCACUUCAGAAAUCUAUGGGCCCACUUGAUAUUCUGAAUUUUUUGAAGAAGCGCUCCUUAAUCUAUCCUAAUGUUGUUAUUGCAUACAGAAUUUUGUUAACCAUUCCUGUGACGGUUGCAUCCGCAGAAAGGAGCUUUUCUAAACUCAAGUUGUUGAAAUCCUACUUGCGUUCUACUAUGUCACAAGAAAGACUCAAUGGAUUGGCAACUAUAGCACUUGAAAAUGAUAUCUUGGAGAAGAUUAAUUAUGAAGAUUUGAUCGAAGAUUUUAUUUCAAGAAAUACUAGAAGAAUGUUGCUUUUUGGUAGAAAAUGA
rnacentral:rRNA from 1 species